rnacentral:rRNA from 1 species
CCUGUGAGGGUUGCUGGAGGUAUCAGAAGUGCGAAUGCUGACAUAAGUAACGAUAAAGCGGGUGAAAAGCCCGCUCGCCGGAAGACCAAGGGUUCCUGUCCAACGUUAAUCGGGGCAGGGUGAGUCGACCCCUAAGGCGAGGCCGAAAGGCGUAGUCGAUGGGAAACGGGUUAAUAUUCCCGUACUUGGUGUUACUGCGAAGGGGGGACGGAGAAGGCUAUGUUGGCCGGGCGACGGUUGUCCCGGUUUAAGCGUGUAGGCUGGUUUUCCAGGCAAAUCCGGAAAAUCAAGGCUGAGGCGUGACGACGAGGCACUACGGUGCUGAAGCAACAAAUGCCCUGCUUCCAGGAAAAGCCUCUAAGCAUCAGGUAACAUCAAAUCGUACCCCAAACCGACACAGGUGGUCAGGUAGAGAAUACCAAGGCGCUUGAGAGAACUCGGGUGAAGGAACUAGGCAAAAUGGUGCCGUAACUUCGGGAGAAGGCACGCUGACACGUAGGUGAAGUGAUUUACUCAUGGAGCUGAAGUCAGUCGAAGAUACCAGCUGGCUGCAACUGUUUAUUAAAAACACAGCACUGUGCAAACACGAAAGUGGACGUAUACGGUGUGACGCCUGCCCGGUGCCGGAAGGUUAAUUGAUGGGGUCAGCGCAAGCGAAGCUCCUGAUCGAAGCCCCGGUAAACGGCGGCCGUAACUAUAACGGUCCUAAGGUAGCGAAAUUCCUUGUCGGGUAAGUUCCGACCUGCACGAAUGGCGUAAUGAUGGCCAGGCUGUCUCCACCCGAGACUCAGUGAAAUUGAACUCGCUGUGAAGAUGCAGUGUACCCGCGGCAAGACGGAAAGACCCCGUGAACCUUUACUAUAGCUUGACACUGAACAUUGAGCCUUGAUGUGUAGGAUAGGUGGGAGGCUUUGAAGUGUGGACGCCAGUCUGCAUGGAGCCGACCUUGAAAUACCACCCUUUAAUGUUUGAUGUUCUAACGUGGACCCGUGAUCCGGGUUGCGGACAGUGUCUGGUGGGUAGUUUGACUGGGGCGGUCUCCUCCUAAAGAGUAACGGAGGAGCACGAAGGUUGGCUAAUCCUGGUCGGACAUCAGGAGGUUAGUGCAAUGGCAUAAGCCAGCUUGACUGCGAGCGUGACGGCGCGAGCAGGUGCGAAAGCAGGUCAUAGUGAUCCGGUGGUUCUGAAUGGAAGGGCCAUCGCUCAACGGAUAAAAGGUACUCCGGGGAUAACAGGCUGAUACCGCCCAAGAGUUCAUAUCGACGGCGGUGUUUGGCACCUCGAUGUCGGCUCAUCACAUCCUGGGGCUGAAGUAGGUCCCAAGGGUAUGGCUGUUCGCCAUUUAAAGUGGUACGCGAGCUGGGUUUAGAACGUCGUGAGACAGUUCGGUCCCUAUCUGCCGUGGGCGCUGGAGAACUGAGGGGGGCUGCUCCUAGUACGAGAGGACCGGAGUGGACGCAUCACUGGUGUUCGGGUUGUCAUGCCAAUGGCACUGCCCGGUAGCUAAAUGCGGAAGAGAUAAGUGCUGAAAGCAUCUAAGCACGAAACUUGCCCCGAGAUGAGUUCUCCCUGAGACUUUAGGUCUCCUGAAGGAAC